rnacentral:rRNA from 1 species
GCAACCCUUAUCCUUUGUUGCCAGCGGUUAGGCCGGGAACUCAAAGGAGACUGCCAGUGAUAAACUGGAGGAAGGUGGGGAUGACGUCAAGUCAUCAUGGCCCUUACGACCAGGGCUACACACGUGCUACAAUGGCGCAUACAAAGAGAAGCGACCUCGCGAGAGCAAGCGGACCUCAUAAAGUGCGUCGUAGUCCGGAUUGGAGUCUGCAACUCGACUCCAUGAAGUCGGAAUCGCUAGUAAUCGUGGAUCAGAAUGCCACGGUGAAUACGUUCCCGGGCCUUGUACACACCGCCCGUCACACCAUGGGAGUGGGUUGCAAAAGAAGUAGGUAGCUUAACCUUCGGGAGGGCGCUUACCACUUUGUGAUUCAUGACUGGGGUGAAGUCGUAACAAGGUAACCGUAGGGGAACCUGC